GUUGCUAAGGACGCUCGAUUCUCCAAUCACCGUUUGGCUUGCUAGGCUGUGCAGCCAUCCGUGGUUGCUGUGGCAACGGAUAGCAACAGCUCCAGACCCUGCGGUGCCAGAAGAAAGCUGGAGGCUUGGAGGUUUUGCCCUGGUCUUGACCUCACAUUUGAGUUUCUUCCCUGAGAAUGUUGAGGAGGCUCUACUAGUGAUGUGGCUGGACAUCACUUUUUGCUUGGAAUCAUUCCUGCACACCUUCUGAGG
rnacentral:lncRNA from 1 species